CUUCAUCUUCUCAAACCUAGCCUUCGUCGUUCGUCCAUCUUCAUCGUUCAGCUUCAUCUUCUCGAACCACCUUCAUCACUGCCCUUCAUCGCACCCAGCCUUCACCGCCUUCGUCGUCACCUUCAUCGUUCAUUAUGGUGGUCUUCCUCGAGCUUGACGUUGCCGUCACCGUCAGUGGUCAUUGUCUUCCUUGACGCUGCGUUGAAAGGGUUUUGAGUGGCUUUUCCUUGAAAGGUUCAGAAAACCCUAACCUCCAUCACACCGCCAUCUAUGUCACUAUCGCCACCCUUCGCGCUCAAGAUCGCAACCAGGUUCGUCGUUGUGUUAGCCAGCUCGCCAUUCCUCGCCAGUUCGUCGUUCUGGUCGUCGUGCUACUCGCCUUUCUCUCUCGCGGUUCUGCUCGCUUCUCUGUCACGGUUCUGCUUGCGGUGCUGCUCAAAGGGUCCAAGAAAUCAAAGCCAAAAUCCAAUUUUUCCAUCUGCAAAAUUUCACCUGCUGAAUUCGAAUCUCUGUUUCUUAAGAAAUCAGUCUUGUUCAGUACAUAGAAGUGAUCAGAUUUAUGGUGAAGAUGAAUAGUCAUUUGGAUUCUGGGAGCAAGGUACUGGAGUUUUUAGUUGCCCUUCUGGAAAAAAGUCCAAUGUACACUCUCUAUUUAGAUUUCAGUUAUCUUGUCACUUUUAUGCCAAAACAAUUUAUCCUAGCUUCAUGUUCUAGCAUUUGUUAUUAAUUAAUAUAGUUUGAUACAAGUAUAUAGUUGAGCCUUAGUUGUAUUUUACUUAAUACACUCUCUAUGCUUUUCCUUCUUUUGUCAUUGUCCUUUCUCUUUUUUAAUCCGUUACUUGGCCAGACAAUGACUCAUGGGAACAAUGAAAGAUAGAAAGAAAGAAUACUUUUAAGAAGAAAGGUGAGUUGGAUAUUUUACACGAGUUAAGUGUCAUCUGUCAUGUUAAAAUUAGAAGUGUUAUAUUGACGGAUAUAGAGGAGGUAGAUGUAAUUUCCUCUAACAUUUAUGAAUGACUAAUAUUCCCAUUCUAUUUACUUCUAUUGUAAGUCAUCUAUUUUUCUCCUUCUGCACUCUUUUUGUUUUCUGUUUUCUGUUUCUGUUUCUUCUUUCUCCUUUCAUUAUGCUUCUGGUUCUUAGUGUUCUUUGGCUAGUAUAAGAAGGCUUUCAAAGAGAAAAGGGGUGAAUUCUCUCCAUUUUUGUUCCUUAAUUCUUUUCGUUUCUUCAGGAUGAAUUUUUUUUAUCCGGCAGUGAAAGAAACCCUCAAUGUUCUUCAAUCGUGUGAAAUCUCAGUCGGUAAGCACGUUAUUUUGACUUCUUUAAUUGCUGCUGUUACAUUUAAUGGAAGGCUUCUGACUCCUAAAGCAGUAGUUGAUGACACCUGGUUUUCGAUCACAAACUUUGUAAGGAGUCGAAGGUAUGUCCCAUGUCCCUACAAUUGUUAUCAUAUUCGCCUAAUUAGGCCAAAUUAGUAGGAGUGGAAUUAGCUUUAUGUGUUGCUGAUUUAAUUUUGAUUCAUUUGAAUAAGCUCAAUCCCUUGUAAAUUUGAGACUUUAGUACCACUGAUUUUGUUUCUCAUUUUCCUUUUUUUUUUCAGUCAUGGUACUAGUAUGUGCUUUCAAAGACAUUGGCUGAAGAUGCUGCUUGAAAAUUUGCAAAAAAAAAAUUAAAUAAUAAUUAACCCAGUAAUGGUGAUUGGACCUCUUCAGCAACCAGUACUUAACACAAGUGCUGCUGGUUUUUUGAAUGUAACUAAUGGAGAAGAAGCCUUAUUCCAAUAAAGUUGCUAAGCUUAAAGCAGAAUAUGAGAAGGCUAUGGAAAGUUAUAUUGCUGCUGAAGCAGGAGGGGAAAAGGGAGAAGGAGAAGGAGAACAUGAAGAGGGAUGAUAAAAAAUAUGAUAAGGAAGAAGCUGCGGCCAGUGAAGACGAGGAGUAAAGUCUACUGGUUGCUAUGCACAAGAGCUUAAUUGUUUCUAGUGUAGUGUUGAAAAUUUUCAAAUGCCUUUGUGCUGCAAAAUCUUUGUGUUGGCCUCUUGGAAUAUUCUUCAAAGGCACUUGGUUUAUACUUAUUUCAUUGUUCUCCACUCCUCCCCAAUAGAUGUGUUUGAUUACUUUUAUGAUCUGUCUAUGGCAACAAAGCAGAAUUGUAUUAUUGGCUUAUUCUUCCUUUUUUUUUAAAUAAAUUUUUCGUUGGCCAAUCCAAUUAGCUUAUUAUAAAUUCUGGGUUCGGUUGGUUAAGCGUAGCCAUAGCUUCCUCUUCAACCACCACAUUUAUUAUGUAGUCAUAUUUUUUUAUAUAAGCACGUUUUAAAAGCGUAGCCAUAUCUUCUCCUAUCCUUCUCCUAUCGACACAUUUCAAAAGUGUAGCU